UACGUAGGGUGCAAGCGUUGUCCGGAAUUAUUGGGCGUAAAGAGCUCGUAGGCGGUCUGUCGCGUCGAAUGUGAAACCCCGAGGCUCAACCUCGGGUCUGCAUUCGAUACGGGCAGACUAGGAGUUCGGUAGGGGAGUCUGGAAUUCCUGGUGUAGCGGUGAAAUGCGCAGAUAUCAGGAGGAACACCGAUGGCGAAGGCAGGUCUCUGGGCCACUACUGACGCUGAGAAGCGAAAGCAUGGGGAGCGAACAGG
rnacentral:rRNA from 1 species